rnacentral:rRNA from 1 species
GAUGAACGCUGGCGGCGUGCCUAAUACAUGCAAGUCGAGCGAACGGACGAGAAGCUUGCUUCUCUGAUGUUAGCGGCGGACGGGUGAGUAACACGUGGAUAACCUACCUAUAAGACUGGGAUAACUUCGGGAAACCGGAGCUAAUACCGGAUAAUAUUUUGAACCGCAUGGUUCAAAAGUGAAAGACGGUCUUGCUGUCACUUAUAGAUGGAUCCGCGCUGCAUUAGCUAGUUGGUAAGGUAACGGCUUACCAAGGCAACGAUGCACAGCCGACCUGAGAGGGUGAUCGGCCACACUGGAACUGAGACACGGUCCAGACUCCUACGGGAGGCAGCAGUAGGGAAUCUUCCGCAAUGGGCGAAAGCCUGACGGAGCAACGCCGCGUGAGUGAUGAAGGUCUUCGGAUCGUAAAACUCUGUUAUUAGGGAAGAACAUAUGUGUAAGUAACUGUGCACAUCUUGACGGUACCUAAUCAGAAAGCCACGGCUAACUACGUGCCAGCAGCCGCGGUAAUACGUAGGUGGCAAGCGUUAUCCGGAAUUAUUGGGCGUAAAGCGCGCGUAGGCGGUUUUUUAAGUCUGAUGUGAAAGCCCACGGCUCAACCGUGGAGGGUCAUUGGAAACUGGAAAACUUGAGUGCAGAAGAGGAAAGUGGAAUUCCAUGUGUAGCGGUGAAAUGCGCAGAGAUAUGGAGGAACACCAGUGGCGAAGGCGACUUUCUGGUCUGUAACUGACGCUGAUGUGCGAAAGCGUGGGGAUCAAACAGGAUUAGAUACCCUGGUAGUCCACGCCGUAAACGAUGAGUGCUAAGUGUUAGGGGGUUUCCGCCCCUUAGUGCUGCAGCUAACGCAUUAAGCACUCCGCCUGGGGAGUACGACCGCAAGGUUGAAACUCAAAGGAAUUGACGGGGACCCGCACAAGCGGUGGAGCAUGUGGUUUAAUUCGAAGCAACGCGAAGAACCUUACCAAAUCUUGACAUCCUUUGACAACUCUAGAGAUAGAGCCUUCCCCUUCGGGGGACAAAGUGACAGGUGGUGCAUGGUUGUCGUCAGCUCGUGUCGUGAGAUGUUGGGUUAAGUCCCGCAACGAGCGCAACCCUUAAGCUUAGUUGCCAUCAUUAAGUUGGGCACUCUAAGUUGACUGCCGGUGACAAACCGGAGGAAGGUGGGGAUGACGUCAAAUCAUCAUGCCCCUUAUGAUUUGGGCUACACACGUGCUACAAUGGACAAUACAAAGGGCAGCGAAACCGCGAGGUCAAGCAAAUCCCAUAAAGUUGUUCUCAGUUCGGAUUGUAGUCUGCAACUCGACUACAUGAAGCUGGAAUCGCUAGUAAUCGUAGAUCAGCAUGCUACGGUGAAUACGUUCCCGGGUCU